CCUACGGGUGGCAGCAGUGAGGAAUAUUGGUCAAUGGGCGAGAGCCUGAACCAGCCAAGUCGCGUGAAGGAUGAAGGAUCUAUGGUUUGUAAACUUCUUUUAUAUGGGAAUAAAACGAGGCACGUGUGCCUUUUUGCAUGUACUUUAUGAAUAAGGAUCGGCUAACUCCGUGCCAGCAGCCGCGGUAAUACGGAGGAUCCGAGCGUUAUCCGGAUUUAUUGGGUUUAAAGGGAGCGUAGAUGGGUUGUUAAGUCAGUUGUGAAAGUUUGCGGCUCAACCGUAAAAUUGCAAUUGAUACUGGCAGUUUUGAGUACAGUUGAGGUAGGCGGAAUUCGUGGUGUAGCGGUGAAAUGCUUAGAUAUCACGAAGAACCCCGAUUGCGAAGGCAGCUUACUAAACUGUGACUGACAUUGAUGCUCGAAAGUGUGGGUAUCAAACAGGAUUAGAUACCCUUGUAGUC
rnacentral:rRNA from 1 species